GCAUAGGUGAGGAAACAUUACCUCACUGGGGACCUUUAACUUAUCUUAACGGAGAAUUUCAGCUUCAGGACAAUCAGCUAAAGAAGAAGCCGCUGUCAUGAGAUAGCAGUUGCAGCGGAGACAUCGGUAGCUUUACUACCCAAAGUAGCACUUAUUUGUACGACAGGUGCUGAUUCUAACUUGCGUAUAUUGAACAGUGAUCUGAGUCGUGUUGGCUGUAUAGUGUCCGCGAAGUAGCACUCGGACGAGACGGAUAA